rnacentral:rRNA from 1 species
UACGAGAGGCCCAAACGUUAUUCGGAAUUACUGGGCUUAAAGAGUUCGUAGGCGGCGCAGAAAGUAGGGUGUGAAAGCCCUCGGCUCAACCGAGGAAUUGCGCUCUAAACUACUGUGCUUGAGGAAUCUAGAGGUGAGCGGAACUGAUGGUGGAGCGGUGAAAUGCGUUGAUAUCAUCAGGAACACCGGAGGUGAAGGCGGCUCACUGGGGAUUUUCUGACGCUGAGGAACGAAAGCCAGGGGAGCGAACGGG